rnacentral:lncRNA from 1 species
ACAUCAUAGCAAUCACAUAACACACAGGCUUGAUGGACAACCAACAAGUAGUUAAUUAAGCAUUGACAGUGUUGACACACAUGUCGCUUAACAGGGAUUAACAAAAUUAUAACUUGGUGUGACUAGACCGACCUGCUCUGAUACCAAUUGUAACACCCUUUAAUUUUCCCUUGAUUUUAUUUGCGAAGAAUUCAAUUUAGUUUAUUUCAUUAAAGGUGUCACCUACUUUUGAAUCGAAUACUUAAUUAAAUAAGGAUUAAGCAACAAAAAUAAAAUUAAAACCAAUAAACAUAAGUUCUAAAAUUUGAAGUAAAAAAUUAUUGAGAGCAAUAGAAUCAUUCCAAAAACCAAUUGACACUGUUCAAGUCAUUUUGAAGAAAUACUAAUUGAAUAUAUACGUGAAUCCCCCAAGACAUCCUAUCAGAGAGACUCAAUUACNNNNNNNNNNNNNNNNNNNNNNNNNNNNNNNNNNNNNNNNNNNCCCCGAACUCGGCAACUAUGACUCAUCGCCUACCUGAAAAUCUACGGUUGCACACCGUAGGGCCAAGCCAGAAAAAGGAAGCAACAAGGGGUCAAUAAUACAAUCACAAAUAAUAUCACAAACGAGCACAAUUAUUAAAAUAAAACAAUAAGUCAGCAAUAUCAACAUCCAUUCCAAUUUUUCAUCAUGUAGGAUCAACACCAAUUACAAAUUCCAGUUUUAUAUCAUGGAGGAUCACCACCAAUUCCAGUUUUAUAUCAUGGAGGAUCACCACAAAUUUCCAGUUUUAUAUCAUAGAGGAUCACCACCAAUUCCAGUUUUAUAUCAUGGAGGAUCACCACAAAUUCCAGUUUUACAUCAUGGAGGAUCACCACCAAUAGUUCGGCAACGUCAAUUGCAACGAUACAAAUUCAACACAAAUAGAGACAUCAUGAUUUCAACAUCAGUACGUCAACAUGGUUUAACAUCAUUAACAACAGCUACAGCCCACAUCAUAAGUCAACGGCUUAAAAUCAUCGGUUUAACUAAUAACUAUUAUUUAUAGAAUUUCAACGGUUUAACCCUCUCCCACUACUGUCAAAAUUAAUUAGAGUGAUUUAUUAACUCUACUGGGUAGCGACUGACCUAUACUCGAAACAGCCCGACACGAAACCUAAUGAAUUUAAAUUUAUCACCGAAUUUGCUAGGAAAAUUAUGCUGAGUUAAUAAAAGAAGGGUUACUCAAUUAUUAAAUUUUUGUCACAACCAAACCUAAACAAACCCCCGGAAGUUAUUUAUUAAUCUCUGGAAAGCAAGGAAAAGGUUUAAUUGUCGAUCUCGAUACAAAAUCAGGAACAUUGUACUUUUCCUUAAGUUAACAAACUUGCUGUAAAAAUCAUGUGAUAGAGCAGUUAGGUUCACAGAGCUACUGAGACAUGUAGGUAAGUGCUAAAAUUAUGAAAUUCGACAUACAUAAACUACUAUAUGUCCUCUUUCAAACGCAANNNNNNNNNNNNNNNNNNNNNNNNNNNNNNNNNNNNNNNNNNNNNNNNNNCCCUAGCUUAAGAUAUCAAUUUUCGAAGCUGACUGACUCAUAGGAGAUUAUAAAACAGAACUGUCAUUUUCAUAGUAUCACAAAACCAUGCACAAGUUAUAUUAAGUCCCCAAACCUUCCAGUAAUAUACUACUGCUUCUUAGCUUUAAGACCCAAUUGAGUUCACUCAAAAAUAUGUUUCCUAACUCAAGUUAUACCCAAUUUAAUCCAACUACAUCAUAAUCUCCUUAUGCAGAAAAUUACCCUAACUUCUCUCUUUCUUUCAUAAUAUUGUAUAUCACACGAAUCCAAUCAACAUAGCAGAGCACAAGAAUUCACACUUUAACAAAGCAUGAACAACAACAACAACAACACGUGUGAAGAAAAAGAAGAAACAAUCAACUCAUACUAUAAAAAAUUUAGAAACUUAGAUGAAAGAUUAAACCUCUUACUUGGAAUAGCAAUUAAUCUUUGGUUGUGAGUUUUGUUUUCCUCUUCUUUCUCUUCUCCCUCUCGUGCGUCAAUCUCUCUUUCUCCCUUGCUCCUCUAUUCUGUUUUUCUCUUCUCUUUUUUUUUUUUGUUGUAAAAAGUGGAUAGAUUUCAACUUUGUUUCUAACUUAGUCUAGUGGUUUCCUCCACAAGAAGGAAAAAUUCUGCUUUUAACUAUUCAUGGGUUUUCUUUCUACUAGGCCCAAUUUCAUUAUUUCUACUAUUCUUUCUUACUCACACCCCCUCUCCACCUAUUAUAUAAUUUCUACAACCCCG